rnacentral:rRNA from 1 species
AACGAACGCUGGCGGCAUGCCUAACACAUGCAAGUCGAACGAGACCUUCGGGUCUAGUGGCGCACGGGUGCGUAACGCGUGGGAACCUGCCCUUAGGUUCGGAAUAACUCCCCGAAAGGGGUGCUAAUACCGGAUAAUGUCUUCGGACCAAAGAUUUAUCGCCUUUGGAUGGGCCCGCGUUGGAUUAGCUAGUUGGUAGGGUAAAAGCCUACCAAGGCGACGAUCCAAAGCUGGUCUGAGAGGAUGAUCAGCCACACUGGGACUGAGACACGGCCCAGACUCCUACGGGAGGAAGCAGUGGGGAAUAUUGGACGAUGGGCGAAAGCCUGAGCCAGCAAUGCCGCGUGGGUGAUGAAGGCCUUAGGGUUGUAAAGCUCUGUUAACCGGGAUGAUAAUGACAGUACCGUGAGAAUAAGCGCCGGCUAACUCCGUG